UUGUUUGCGGCCGGCCAACAUAGAACAUAGGUGGGCAUUAUGCAAAUGUGUUACUCAGUGACGUGUAGCCAUCACAGAAGUGGGAUUCGACUACUGACGAC